rnacentral:rRNA from 1 species
UGGGGAAUAUUGGACAAUGGGCGCAAGCCUGAUCCAGCAAUGCCGCGUGUGUGAAGAAGGCCUUCGGGUUGUAAAGCACUUUUAUCAGGAGCGAAACGCUGUCGGCUAAUAGCCGGCGGAACUGACGGUACCUGAGGAAUAAGGCACCGGCUAACUUCGUGCCAACAGCCGCGGUAAUACGAAGGGUGCAAGCGUUAAUCGGAAUUACUGGGCGUAAAGCGUGCGUAGGCGGUUUCUUAAGUCUGCUGUGAAAUCCCCGGGCUCAACCUGGGAAUGGCAGUGGAUACUGGGAGGCUAGAGUGUGUCAGAGGGUGGUGGAAUUCCCGGUGUAGCGGUGAAAUGCGUAGAGAUCGGGAGGAACAUCAGUGGCGAAGGCGGCCACCUGGGACAACACUGACGCUGAGGCACGAAAGCGUGGGGGAGCAAACAGGAUUAGGAUACCCUGGUAGUCCACGCCCUAAACGAUGCGAACUGGAUGUUGGUCUCAACUCGGAGAUCAGUGUCGAAGCUUAACGCGUUAAGUUCGCCG